CAAGGACAGUGGCGUCAAGCACACGCUGGACAUGUGGCACGGAGCCAAGAAUCUUGGCAAAAAAAUCCAUGCUGUAAAUUACUGCUAUGUCAAGAUGGAUUACUGUAUUUGUUUUAGAAAUGUCAUAUUUGUUAGUUAUCAUUCUGAAGCAGAAUCAUUCUCUUUUUUUCAAUUUCUAGGCCAGCCUCCAAAAAGGCUGUUCACUGUUACUUGUCCGGAAGAAGGAUAUCUGCAACCACUUUUGGUACUGCUGCAAGGCAGCAAAUACAGUGGAGGAUUUCUGGGACAUGUGGACAGGAUUGCUACACCAUGUCACCGGAGAACACCAGUGGGGACUUGGCGGCUGUUACCAUGGCCCAUUGGAGGAAAAUAGCAACAAGGAGCUUAUUCCAAAGGGAAGCACUGCACACCGCAAAAUCACAGAACUGAUCAUGGAUGAGAGGUGGUCAAAGACGAUUCCAAAGUACUUGACCUUUAGAUCCACUGGUGCCCUGGAGUGUUUCCAUGCACACGUUCUGAUGUACGCAUCAAAACGAAACGCCUUCAUACCACCUGUGUAUGCGGCCCGAACACUUUUAGCUGCCCUUGACUACAAUGAACACUGCAGCCGACCCUACUAUGUGAAGGCAGAUGGCAAAUA